AUACGUAGGGUGCGAGCGUUAAUCGGAAUUACUGGGCGUAAAGCGUGCGCAGGCGGUUUCGUAAGACAGAUGUGAAAUCCCCGGGCUUAACCUGGGAACUGCGUUUGUGACUGCGAGACUUGAGUGCGGCAGAGGGGGGUGGAAUUCCACGUGUAGCAGUGAAAUGCGUAGAGAUGUGGAGGAACACCGAUGGCGAAGGCAGCCCCCUGGGUCGACACUGACGCUCAUGCACGAAAGCGUGGGGAGC
rnacentral:rRNA from 1 species